ACAAACCACUAUCCAACACUUGUAAGAACUUACCUUGAAAGUUUUCAGGGAACGUGUAUGUUUAGACACCCUACCAUACCAUGUAUGUCCAGUAUAAGCAGGUGCCUUUUCGUAUAGCGCAACUCCAUCAUGAUUUCCAAGGUGUUUCCAUUUAGGAAUUUGUUCGACAAUUUUCAAGGCGUCCUGAACGAUCCUCUCUCUCCAACUCUCAAAAUUAGGAUCUGUCGCUUUCAAAACAUCGUCCGAAGAGAUUGGACAUAUUGAAUCUGAACCAAAAAGAUCUUGUUGCAUUCAAUGGUCUAGUUGGCUAAUGGUGAGGUUAAAUUUUUAGGGUAGUAGUAGUAGGUCCUAGUCGUACGUAGCUUCAAUAAAAUCGUCAAUACAACAAAAGACUCCAACAUUUCUCUUUUAUAUCAUUUUUAAAACAAAAUAUAAUAUUUAUGAGUAGUUUGUCAGCUGUUGGAAAUUUUCACCUUUGCCACUGUGUGCGAUCGUUUGGUUUAAAGAAUGUACCAUUUAAAAUGGCCUAAGUAUUACCCAGU